rnacentral:sRNA from 1 species
AAUUCUUAUAUAUCUUUGAGUUCUUAAUCUUCUUUGAAACU